CGAUAGGCGGCUUUGGGGUCGCCCCAGGAGUCCAGCUGCGAGAGACCAAUGGGAUUUGAAAAUGGCCUUGAUGAUUCAGACGGCCGUGACGUCAGCGGGGUCAAGUUGUCGGCAGGCGGAGCGCGCAGAGUGGAGUAACAGCGCCACCUAGCAGCUGCCUCGGGGGAAUAUUCCGGGAAAGAAAGAGGGAACCUGCGGAGCGUCGGUCAGUUUGGAGGAGUCACCUAUCACACGGGAAACCAGCACACAAGACGCAACAAAACCCGACCCAGAGAAGCGUCCUUUACAGAGCGCAUGGGCUGGGGAGCAUGUUUGAAAGAAGACAGACCAGUCUAUUUUUGUGGUUGUUUUUAAAUAAAAGGAAGAAAU